AUGGCUCGAAGGGGCGGCUCAGCAGCAGCAGUUUGCCGUGAUGAGUGGGGAAACUACCUGGGUAGCUCCGCACUGGUCCUGGAGGGAGUGGUAGAUCCGGCCACUUUGGAGGCCAUAGCGUGUCGGGAAGCCCUGUCCCUAGCUGAUGAUUUGGGUAUCCAAAAUCUCAUAGUCGCAUCGGAUUGCCAGCAGGUCAUCUCAGAUAUCAACAAGAACUCACGAGGCGCGUAUGGAGCUAUUAUCACAGAGAUAAAACUUAGAUCAACUACUUUUCUUUGUAAUUUUUCUUUCGAGAGUCGUGCUGUUAAUUAUGAAGCACAUAGCUUAGCCAAAUUUUCGCUUUCUAGAGGUCCGGGACGACACGUCUGGUUGGGCGUGUCUCACGACCAGCGAUGUAUCCCACACCAUGUGGACUUUCAUGAAUAA
rnacentral:rRNA from 1 species